rnacentral:lncRNA from 1 species
ACAACAUGAUAGUUUACAUGCUGAAUGGUUUACAUGCUGGCACCUGUGUGCCCUGCCACUCGGGAGCUGGGAGAGGAUCACAGUGGUAGUUCGAAGGGUCAGGCUACACCAUAUCAGUGGUUAUGACUGAGUAAAUUGGAGUUCUGGCUAAACUAUAGAAAAGGGCUGGCAAGAGAGUGGCUACAAUGGUCUUGUGAUUUUUGGGAUCUCACUUCUAAUGAAAACGUUAGGUUCACAAAGGCCUGGGUGGAUGAACUCGAGAGCCACCGAAGUUCUUACUCUGGACAUGGGGCAGUUUGCUCUCCUGGGUACCCCUUGCUAUAGCCCCUUUGUCCUGUGUGCACCCCUUCUCUUCCAUGCCUAUGGGGGACUAACUUGCUUGGACUGAGGUGGGAAUGGCUACCUAUUUUGGGUGGCACCAUUCCCUGGCUGGAAUCUUGGAUUGUGUAAGCAGAAAGCAGGGCAGCACCAUGCCUUCACUCCUCUGUUUUUCCCGAUUGUGAAUGCUAAGUGACCAGCUGUUUCCAGCUCCUAUUGCCUUGACUUUCCCAGUGAUAGACACUACCCCAAACUGUGAGCGAGAAUAAAACCUUUCUCCUCUAA